rnacentral:lncRNA from 1 species
AACACUCUACCGUCCUCCCCCUUAAUGCACCUCACCUUAUCGAGGUCACGACCCUUCCUCUCCCUAGCCUUAGCGAGUCUAAACAACUUUUUCUCCCCUCCCUUCCCCUGUAACCCUGCAUACAAGCUCUCAAAGGCGGCCGUCUUAGCUGCCGUGACUGCUGACUUAGCCUCCUUCCUCGCUAGCUUGUACUCUUUCCUGUUUACCCGCUUCUCCUCUUCGUCCUUACUCUCCACCAA